GUCCUUCGGUUUAUGAGCAUGGUGACUGAGUGUCCAUGUCAUAUGCAUGAGAUGUACCUCCCACAAACCUUGUUAUGAUGCGGCAUCUUACCCAUUUGACU